rnacentral:rRNA from 1 species
ACACAAAACACAGUCUCAGUUCANAUUGUAGGCUGAAACUCGCCUAUAUGAAGUCGGAAUUGCUAGUAAUCGCGGAUCAGCAUGCCGCGGUGAAUACGUUCCCGGGCCUUGUACACACCGCCCGUCACACCAUGAGAGUCGAUAACACCCGAAGCCUGUAGUCUAACAGCAAUGAGGACGCAGUCGAAGGUGGGAUUGAUAAUUAGGGUGAAGUCGUAACAAGGUACC